rnacentral:pre_miRNA from 1 species
GUGAAACCUAGAGUUCCCCCAAACACUUCAGUAUGGCUAUCGGUACCCAAAGCGGGAAAGAAACUCUUAUAGCCUCUGAAGUGUAUUGAGGGAACUCCAGAUCAAAC